rnacentral:misc_RNA from 1 species
GAUGAAGAACGUAGCGGAAUGCGAUAAGUAAUGCGAAUUGCAGAAUUCAGUGAGUCAUCGAAUCUUUGAACGCACAUUGCGCCCUGUGGUAUUCCGCAGGGCAUGCCUGUUCGAGCGUCAUUUCAACCCUCAAGCUCUGCUUGGUGUUGGGCCCUGCCCGCUGCGGCCGGCCCUAAAGACAGUGGCGGUGCCGCCUGGCCCUGAGCGUAGUACAUCUCUCGCUCCAGUGCCCGGUGGUAGCCUGCCAGAACCCCAACUCUCGUGGUUGACCUCGGAUCAGGUAGGGAUACCCGCUGAACUUAAGCAUAUCAAUAAGCGGAGGA